UUCUCCACAUCAUUCUCCUGAUGGAAGACCAGACGGGGUUCCCUCUCUGCUGUUUGUGCUGAGCAGCUGCUCGGAGAGGUGGUGAAUGAGUGCAGAUACACUCAGUGAUGGUUCUAAUGUGGGAAUUGCCCCAGUUGUGGUUGCUGCUGAUGCUGCCCUGGGAAGAUGCCUUGACAGGGAAUUAACUCCAGUCAGUGAUGGGCUGUGGGACAAGCAAGGUGCUUCCCGAGCCCCCCAAGGAUGUGCAGCUAGACCUGGUGAAAAAAGUCGAACCCUACACGGGCCACAAUGAUAUAUACAAGCAUUUCAUCAAAGAUGACUGUGGGGCUGUCAUCAAAGCUGGCUCUCCCUCACCUCCGCGUCACACUAACCCCUAUCCUGGGAACCAUCUGCCUGCCCACGUGGACCAGCCUGAACCCCUCAAGAACAAAGUGGCUAAAUACCGUGCCAAAUUUGACCCCAGAGUGACAGCCAAGUAUGACAUUAAAGCUCUGAUCGGGAGAGGGAGUUUUAGCCGUGUUGUGCGGGUGGAGCACAAGGCCACCAAGCAGCCCUACGCAAUCAAGAUGAUAGAGACCAAAUACCGGGAGGGGAGGGAAGUGUGCGAGUCGGAGCUCAGCGUGCUGCGGCGGGUUCGACACACCAAUAUCAUCCAGCUCAUCGAAGUGUUUGAGACCCAGGACCGUGUGUACAUGGUGAUGGAAUUGGCCACCGGAGGAGAACUGUUUGAUCGAAUCAUCGCUAAAGGUUCCUUCACCGAGAGAGAUGCCACACGUGUGCUGCAAAUGGUGUUAGACGGUGUGAAGUACCUGCAUACGCUGGGUAUCACACACCGGGACUUAAAACCAGAGAAUCUGCUGUACUACCAUCCAGGGACUGACUCCAAGAUCAUGAUUACAGACUUUGGGCUGGCCAGUGCUCGGAAGAAGGGAGAUGACUGCUUGAUGAAAACCACAUGCGGGACCCCGGAGUACAUUGCUCCCGAGAUCCUGGUCAGGAAGCCCUAAGGUGGGCCCUGGGUGUUAUCUCCUACAUUCUCCUGAGCGGCACGAUGCCCUUUGAAGAUGACAACCGCACCCGCUUGUAUCGCCAGAUCCUGAAAGGAAAAUACAGUUACUCAGGCGAG